CUACUAGGCCCGGCCUCUUCUGUCUUUUUGUAGGUCACUCUCCAUCUUUUCCGCCAGUGCCCAACUGACUGAUCUUUACAGAUGGUGUCAACAGAUGCAUCUACCCUCUGGCUUCAAGUUGAGUUGGCCAAUGAAGGGAGGCGCUGCGGAAAGUACAUGACAUUUGCAGUUGUGGGCGACUGUGCUGUGGGAUGAAACCAGGCUCCUCAUCAAGAUGAACAUAGAUUCAAGUCUCCAUCUUAGCCAUUUCCUAGUUCUGUGAUUAUAAAUAAACUCCUUGACUUUUC
rnacentral:lncRNA from 10 species